rnacentral:rRNA from 1 species
GACCUGAACUCAGUCGAGAGCACCCGCUGAAC